UACGGAGGGUGCAAGCGUUAUCCGGAUUCACUGGGUUUAAAGGGUGCGUAGGUGGGCAAGUAAGUCAGUGGUGAAAUCUCCGGGCUUAACCCGGAAACUGCCAUUGAUACUAUUUGUCUUGAAUACUGUGGAGGUCAGCGGAAUAUGUCAUGUAGCGGUGAAGUGCUUAGAUAUGACAUAGAACACCAAUUGCGAAGGCAGCUGGCUACACAAAUAUUGACACUGAGGCACGAAAGCGUGGGGAUCAAACAGG
rnacentral:rRNA from 1 species